AUUGAACGCUGGCGGCAGGCCUAACACAUGCAAGUCGAACGAGUGGCGGACGGGUGAGUAAUGUCUGGGAAACUGCCCGAUGGCGGGGGAUAACUACUGGAAACGGUAGCUAAUACCUCAUACCAUCGGAUGUGCCCAGAUGGGAUUAGCUAGUCGGUGGGGUAACGGCUCACCUAGGCGACGAUCCCUAGCUGGUCUGAGAGGAUGACGGGCCACACGGGAACUGGGCCACGGUCAAGACUCCUACGGGAGGCAGCGGUGGGGAAGAUUGCACAAUGGGCGCAAGCCUGAUGCAGCAAUGCCGCGUGUAUUAAGAGGGUCUUGGGUUUGUAAAGUACUUUCAGCGAGGAGGCGUUACUCGCAGAGGAAGCACCGGCUAACUCCGUGCCAGCAGCCGCGGUAAUAC
rnacentral:rRNA from 1 species